rnacentral:rRNA from 1 species
UACGUAGGUGACAAGCGUUGUCCGGAUUUACUGGGCGUAAAGAGCGCGCAGGCGGUCGAUCAAGUCGAGUGUGAAAGCCCCCGGCUCAACUGGGGAGGGUCAUUCGAUACUGAUCGACUCGAAGGCAGGAGAGGGUAGUGGAAUUCCCGGUGUAGUGGUGAAAUGCGUAGAUAUCAGGAGGAACACCGGUGGCGAAGGCGGGACUCUGGGCUGAUACUGACGCUGAGGAGCGAAAGCGUGGGGAGCAAACAGG